rnacentral:lncRNA from 1 species
CAUUCUUCCAUAAUACUGGGAGUAAGUCUUGAGGGUAAGGAGUAGAAACCUAGCCUUCCUAUUCAAGAGAAACAAUGGUUGUCAAGGGAAUGUCAGCUGGGAAAAAUGAUGACAGAUGUGGCUUGUUUGGGAUUAGAAGAAUCACUGUCAUCUGGUUCUGUCUACUCCAAUUCCUUCUCUGUGAAUUUCUAGGUUCUUCUCCAAGAUUUGGGGAAGGGUUCUGGUUCCUUAUAAAAGUCCCAGGCUCUGUCUCUAGAACACUCAAUAGACAAAGAGAUCCUUAGGAACUUAAAUCAUUGAAGAAAACGUUUGUAGUCAAACCAAUUUGUUAUGGAAACCCACUACAAAGACUUUAAUCUGCAAAGCCCUCCCCAUGACAUGUAAAUUUCAUUUUAUAAAAGCUGUUACUUCAGAAGCCAAACACUUGAGAAAGAAACCCCCUAUGUUGGCCAUCAUGCGCUGGUCCUUCAGACACUCCAUCAUCAUGUUAGCAGGCUUGGGCCUCCUGUGGUUUUUCAUCAAUUUGGGAACCUCAAAGAUGAAUGAAAACAUCUAUCUGCUGGAAACAAAGUGGUCCUUCCACUAG